GGGAUCUUUCAUAAAAAAAAAUCUUUAAUUUUAAUAUUAUUUAAAAUUCAUCACCUUUUGGUCACUAGAACAUGAGAUCAUCACCGGCUAACAUGGAUGGCCCAUACGUAUUCUCAGCCACCAAGAACCAUGGUGGAGGGAAACAAGGAUGCAAGCUAAACUACCAAAUAUCCCCAGGAGAUUUGUGUGAAGUCUAAACAAAGGUAACUCAAAAACGCAGGCAAUAGGGAGAGCAGAUCCACAAAGAGUUGGAUCAAUUACUGAAUUCAGCCACCACAAUAGGACACUAGACCUGUCUUUCAAGUCUCAUGUCGCAGCUUUGACAAAAAGAAAGACGGUAUCCUAAUUUGAAAAUGAUCAACCAAAGACUAAAACAACCUAAGAAAGGCGAUUGCGUGUGGUUUUUGUAGAUGAUUUGGUGCUGUUUUCAAUUUGUCUCCCUGUAUCUAUGGUUGUUGGCUUGCUGAUCUGAAAUAUCUCCAUUAAUCUUCAAUCUAUUUUUGGCUUUUAUUGGUGGAGCUCCUUUUCCAACAGAUUAUCAGCGGUGGGGUUGCCGAGGUGUUGUUGGUGAAACGCUAUACAGAAUUGUAUGGUGGGUUAAGAUUUGGGUUUGAGUUCUUUCUGGAUUUUAGAGUUUCUGGUGUAUCUUGGGCUCUUUGAUCUUUUGGGCCUUGAGACAUUUGAUUUGAUGUUUUUAAGUCUUAGGAUUAUGUGGUUGUAGUUGAAAUCUAUUAUGACUUUUUCCUUAAAUAUAUUCUAUCUUUUAGAAACGUUUU
rnacentral:lncRNA from 1 species